rnacentral:rRNA from 1 species
GGGUGCUAACGUCCGUCGUGAAGAGGGAAACAACCCAGACCGCCAGCUAAGGUCCCAAAGUCAUGGUUAAGUGGGAAACGAUGUGGGAAGGCCCAGACAGCCAGGAUGUUGGCUUAGAAGCAGCCAUCAUUUAAAGAAAGCGUAAUAGCUCACUGGUCGAGUCGGCCUGCGCGGAAGAUGUAACGGGGCUAAACCAUGCACCGAAGCUGCGGCAGCGACACUGUGUGUUGUUGGGUAGGGGAGCGUUCUGUAAGCCUGUGAAGGUGUGCUGUGAGGCAUGCUGGAGGUAUCAGAAGUGCGAAUGCUGACAUAAGUAACGAUAAAGCGGGUGAAAAGCCCGCUCGCCGGAAGACCAAGGGUUCCUGUCCAACGUUAAUCGGGGCAGGGUGAGUCGACCCCUAAGGCGAGGCCGAAAGGCGUAGUCGAUGGGAAACAGGUUAAUAUUCCUGUACUUGGUGUUACUGCGAAGGGGGGACGGAGAAGGCUAUGUUGGCCGGGCGACGGUUGUCCCGGUUUAAGCGUGUAGGCUGGUUUUCCAGGCAAAUCCGGAAAAUCAAGGCUGAGGCGUGAUGACGAGGCACUACGGUGCUGAAGCAACAAAUGCCCUGCUUCCAGGAAAAGCCUCUAAGCAUCAGGUAACAUCAAAUCGUACCCCAAACCGACACAGGUGGUCAGGUAGAGAAUACCAAGGCGCUUGAGAGAACUCGGGUGAAGGAACUAGGCAAAAUGGUGCCGUAACUUCGGGAGAAGGCACGCUGAUAUGUAGGUGAAGUCCCUCGCGGAUGGAGCUGAAAUCAGUCGAAGAUACCAGCUGGCUGCAACUGUUUAUUAAAAACACAGCACUGUGCAAACACGAAAGUGGACGUAUACGGUGUGACGCCUGCCCGGUGCCGGAAGGUUAAUUGAUGGGGUCAGCGCAAGCGAAGCUCUUGAUCGAAGCCCCGGUAAACGGCGGCCGUAACUAUAACGGUCCUAAGGUAGCGAAAUUCCUUGUCGGGUAAGUUCCGACCUGCACGAAUGGCGUAAUGAUGGCCAGGCUGUCUCCACCCGAGACUCAGUGAAAUUGAACUCGCUGUGAAGAUGCAGUGUACCCGCGGCAAGACGGAAAGACCCCGUGAACCUUUACUAUAGCUUGACACUGAACAUUGAGCCUUGAUGUGUAGGAUAGGUGGGAGGCUUUGAAGUGUGGACGCCAGUCUGCAUGGAGCCGACCUUGAAAUACCACCCUUUAAUGUUUGAUGUUCUAACGUGGACCCGUGAUCCGGGUUGCGGACAGUGUCUGGUGGGUAGUUUGACUGGGGCGGUCUCCUCCUAAAGAGUAACGGAGGAGCACGAAGGUUGGCUAAUCCUGGUCGGACAUCAGGAGGUUAGUGCAAUGGCAUAAGCCAGCUUGACUGCGAGCGUGACGGCGCGAGCAGGUGCGAAAGCAGGUCAUAGUGAUCCGGUGGUUCUGAAUGGAAGGGCCAUCGCUCAACGGAUAAAAGGUACUCCGGGGAUAACAGGCUGAUACCGCCCAAGAGUUCAUAUCGACGGCGGUGUUUGGCACCUCGAUGUCGGCUCAUCACAUCCUGGGGCUGAAGUAGGUCCCAAGGGUAUGGCUGUUCGCCAUUUAAAGUGGUACGCGAGCUGGGUUUAGAACGUCGUGAGACAGUUCGGUCCCUAUCUGCCGUGGGCGCUGGAGAACUGAGGGGGGCUGCUCCUAGUACGAGAGGACCGGAGUGGACGCAUCACUGGUGUUCGGGUUGUCAUGCCAAUGGCACUGCCCGGUAGCUAAAUGCGGAAGAGAUAAGUGCUGAAAGCAUCUAAGCACGAAACUUGCCCCGAGAUGAGUUCUCCCUGACCCUUUAAGGGUCCUGAAGGAACGUUGAAGACGACGACGUUGAUAGGCCGGGUGUGUAAGCGCAGCGAUGCGUUGAG